rnacentral:rRNA from 1 species
UUCUCUCUGAAUCUGCGAACGGCUCCGCAAACCAGUUGUAAACCAAAGCAAGCAUACUCGGGGACUGCCCUUCACGGGGUGGGCUUCGGGUGAUACGGAUAACCCUGGUAAUUCUGAGGCUAAUACGAGAAUAUAAUCCCUGGCGGACCGGGCAACUGGGAAGCUGGGGGGCGUGUGAUCUAUUUGCAAGACGAUACCAGGAGGGGGUGCACGCUCUGACCGCGAUAAAGACGGUUCCGGUAAACCUUCGGGUGAGCUGGUUCCGAGCGGCUCUUGCGAUGUGCUUCUGACCUAUCAACUAGAUGGCAGCGUAACGGACAUGCCAUGGUUACAACGGGUACAGAGGA